AUACGGAGGGGGCUAGCGUUGUUCGGAAUUACUGGGCGUAAAGCGCACGUAGGCGGACCAGUCAGUCAGAGGUGAAAUCCCGGGGCUCAACCCCGGAACUGCCUUUGAUACUGCUGGUCUCGAGGAUGAGAGAGGCGAGUGGAAUUCCGAGUGUAGAGGUGAAAUUCGUAGAUAUUCGGAGGAACACCAGUGGCGAAGGCGGCUCGCUGGCUCAUUUCUGACGCUGAGGUGCGAAAGCGUGGGGAGCGAACAGGAUUAGAAACCCUAGUAGUCC
rnacentral:rRNA from 1 species